rnacentral:rRNA from 1 species
UACGAGGGGGGCGAGCGUGUUCGGAAUUAUUGGGCGUAAAGGGUGCGUAGGCGGUUUGGUAAGUCUUAUGUGAAAUCUACAGGCUCAACUUGUAGUCUGCAUAGAAAACUGCCGGGGCUGAGUAUGGGGAGAGGUGAGUGGAAUUCCUGGUGUAGCGGUGAAAAUGCGUAGAUAUCAGGAGGAACACCUGUGGCGAAAAGCGGCUCACUGGACCAUAACUGACGCUGAUGCACGAAAAGCUAGGGGGAGCAAAACAGG